rnacentral:rRNA from 1 species
AAAUGGUUGUCUAAUUAUGAAUUAGGUAAUUAUUCUAUAAGAAUAAGUAGUUAUUGAUAUUUUCGAUGACUAUUUAGUUAUGGAUUUAGUGGUCGGAUGAAAGCAUCUUUUGGUGCGUCUUAGGAUGAGCUUGCGGUCCAUUAGCUAGUUGGUAGGGUAAAGGCCUACCAAGGCGACGAUGGAUAGCCGGCCUGAGAGGGUGUACGGCCACAUUGGGACUGAGACACGGCCCAG